rnacentral:rRNA from 1 species
UACGAAGGGAGCUAGCGUUGUUCGGAAUCACUGGGCGUAAAGCGCACGUAGGCGGAUAUUUAAGUCAGGGGUGAAAUCCCAGAGCUCAACUCUGGAACUGCCUUUGAUACUGGGUAUCUCGAGUAUGGAAGAGGUGAGUGGAAUUCCGAGUGUAGAGGUGAAAUUCGUAGAUAUUCGGAGGAACACCAGUGGCGAAGGCGGCUCACUGGUCCAUUACUGACGCUGAGGUGCGAAAGCGUGGGGAGCAAACAGG